AAAGAAGGACGGGUGAUCGCCGGUUCGCUUUGCGGACGGGAGGAAAGUCCGGGCUCCGCAGGACAGGAUGGUUCUUAACGGGAACCGGGGGUGACCCCAGGGAAAGUGCCACAGAGAGAAGACCGUCUGUCAAAGUAUUGCGGCGACAGAUAAGGGUGAAAGGGUGAGGUAAGAGCUCACCAGUUCCGACGGUGACGUCGGAAGCUCGGUAAACCCCAUCCGGAGCAAGGUCGAAUAGGGGAAUGUUUGAGGGCUGUCCGCCCGAAGUUCCUGGGUCUGGCUGCUUGAGACCGUUGGCAACAGCGGUCCUAGAUGAAUGAUCACUGCUCUGCUGCAGGUAACUCCAGUGGGGAACAGAACCCGGCUUACGGACUUCUUUGGCC
rnacentral:RNase_P_RNA from 1 species